rnacentral:rRNA from 1 species
UACGAAGGGGGCUAGCGUUGCUCGGAAUCACUGGGCGUAAAGCGCACGUAGGCGGCUUCUUAAGUCAGGGGUGAAAUCCUGGAGCUCAACUCCAGAACUGCCUUUGAUACUGAGAAGCUUGAGUUCGGGAGAGGUGAGUGGAACUGCGAGUGUAGAGGUGAAAUUCGUAGAUAUUCGGCGGAACACCAGUGGCGAAGGCGACUCACUGGCCCGAUACUGACGCUGAGGCGCGAAAGCGUGGGGAGCAAACAGG